UGCUGGUGUUUCACUCGAGCGUGUCCCACCUCUUCCCAUUCCGAACAGAGAAGUGAAAGCGCUUGAGCCUGAUGAUACUUGCUGCUUCGGUGGUCGGGAAAGUAGGGUACGCCGGCAU
rnacentral:rRNA from 1 species